rnacentral:lncRNA from 1 species
CCCCUUCGACCGAAGUCCUGACGGUUGCCCCCGAGAGGCCGGGCGACCGCUCUCUUCGUUUCUGUUCCCCUACAGGGAUAGGAAGCGCCGGCUCGGCUCGCUCGGCCCCGAGUUACCGACCUUGCCUCCAUCUGGCGGAUCCAGCGCCUCCCUCGCGAGCCUCCAAGACAGCAGCGAGCGGCCCCUGGGCGCCGCUGGCCGAGUGAGGCCUGAGGGGGAACUAAGGCGACCCAGGGUGCAGCGGGCGCGGCUCCGGGCAUGCGCGGCGACUUCCCGCCGAGCGCCCCGCGGCCACGGUCCCGGAGCACCGGGGCGGACCGCGGAGGUAGGCGGUGCGCCCUCUGCCCUUUUAAAUGCGGACUCCCCGCCUUGCGUGCGGCCCCUCCACCCCCCAGCGCCGGGGUGGCUCUCAGGGUCUGCUCCCCCUCCUCGCGCUUAAGAGUUUGGUUUAGGGAGGUGGCAAGGCUGCACGCCGCCCCGGUCCCCAGUCCCAAACCAUCUUAAGGAAACUGUUGUCAGAUGUCGAAUCGCCUAGGCAUCACCCGCCAGCGAGGACACACAGUCCUCACUGUCUUUUCACUCGGCUUCACCACUAGCCAGCAGGGGAUCAGUGCAGAUGGGAUUAGAAAUCGGAUCAACCACCGAGUGCGGUGCUUUCCGUGUGAGGGAUUAUCCGCCUUACUCCCCCAGUACCAUCAGUGAAAUGCCGGUAGGAGGAGCUCACUGUAAUUACGGAUAGACUUCCGGAAUGUAUAUAAAUAUGUGAGCUGUUUUGGUUUUGGUUCUCCCCCCCCCCCCCAACCGAAAUAGGUAUAAGAAAGAGUAGUCGCUUAAUUCAGAUGAGAUGCCCAAUGGGAGCGGCGUCUUUGAAUGAGAAGAGAGAAAACGCCAGAGUGCUAAGUUUGGGUGCUCUUGCCCGGUUUGCAGCGCUAUACCUGUUGCCCGGCCUGUUCAGCACACUUUCAUACAGUGGGGUAUAUUAAGCAGCUGUUGGGAUGCCAAGGGAAACCUAGGUCCUGGUCUAGAUGAAAAUUUGGAUUUCGACAAAACACAACGCGGAAUUCGGCGUCCUGAGGACAAGGGCUAUAUUGGAAGGCCUGGGAACUAAUGUGUUAAUGUACUUUAACGCUGAGAUUUUGAUCAGUGGAGUAUUAAGCCAACCGAGGCAAGCACAGUAUUUAUUGAAUUUCUGAGAACGUGGGACGAAUUUUCUUUCCAUUAUUUAAUAUUAAAGAGCCAGGUCUUGUUGAAAAUAACCAUUGUUAAGGUUAUUGACUUGAUUUUGUUGUUAUUUUGUUUUUGGUUUGGUUUGGUUUGGUUUGGUUUUGAUUUCGAGACAGGGUUUCUCUGUGUAGCCCUGGCUGUCCUGGAGCUCACUCUCUAGACCAGACUGGCCUCAAACUCAGAAAUCCUUCUGCCUCUGCCCCCCAAGUGCUGAGUUAAAGGCGUGUGCCACCACUGCCCAGCUUGUUCCCUUUUUUUAAAACCUGAAUUAAUUUUUGUAUUUACUCACAAACUUGGUUCAGCCAAUUCUAGCUAAAAGGUGGAAUUACUGCAAGCUGCCCUGUUUCUUACUGAUUGGAGUUAGACACUGUAUGGGCCCAUGGAUUUUAUACAGCCUGCUUUACUGAGCUGCAGGCUGACUGGUUGUGACUUACCAAGAGC